rnacentral:rRNA from 1 species
GAUUUCUGGUUGCAUUCGCCUGUCCCGCCACGGUAACGUGUGUGAGUGAUGGGGUGGAUCGGCCAUCCUUCUAGAGGGAGUGGAGGGUGAAAACUUUCCAUUUCUACUCUAGAUCGUUUACUUUGAAAAAAUUAGAGUGUUUCAAGCAGGCAUUUUGCUAUGAAUACAUUAGCAUGGAAUAAUAAUUUAGGACUUUGGUUCUAUUUUGUUGGUUUCUAGGACUGAAGUAAUGAUUGAUAGGGACAGUUGGGGGUGCUAGUAUUCAGCAGGAAAGGGUGAAAUCUUUGGAUCUGCUGAAGACUAACUUAUGCGAAAGCAUU